rnacentral:tRNA from 1 species
UGUCUUGUAGUAUAUAUUUUAUUACCGUAAACUGCAACUUUACUAAAACUUUUAGUCAAGACAU